AAUAGUAAGUUAAAAGCAUAUAAAGGAAGGAACGAACUGUUAAUUGUUGCAAAGCCGAUGGGUUGUCCAGUAGAUACAUGGUGGCCAAAGUGACAGUGGGUGAAAUCGUCUCGACAGUAGCAAGGAGUAGCCCAAACAGAAGGUAAGGCACGAAUUCCUUCGUCAAAAAUGCUUCUUUCCCAAUGUCUCCUAUUACUUCAUCCAAAAAAUCUCCCUUUUUAUUGCAACCUUCUGCUGAAUUAUCAUAAGAGUACCCCUUCAUCCUCUCUUCUAAAACCCAAGUCGUCAGCUUUAUUGCUUUUCUUUUCUUCUGCAGUCAAAUAUAUAUAUUUAUUAGUGUUUACCUAGAAGGAUUCAUGAUGAUAUUCAUAUUUAAUGGUAUGUUUUUACCUGUAUACAUUUGUAGAAAGCGGUCCCAGGAAUAUAUAAAGGAAAUGUCAUAACUCAUAAUUGAUUGCAACAUGUUGUUUAAAUCUUCACCUAAAUUUUUUUCUGGUUUAUAACUCAUCAGGAUCUGUGAGGUUAAAUCAAAUAACAUCUGCAAAUACCCAAACCAACAAUCUAUAUUUAUCUUUACUACAAUAUUUCAUUCUUGGAUCAUCUGGUUAUCCAUAUGCCAUAAUUACUUACGGGAACAGUUUGGAGUUUUACAUCGACCUCUGGCAGAUUGGUCCACUUAUGUACUUCAUGGUUUAUUACAUCCUCAAGCUCAGACAACAGCUUACGUUUGAGUGGCUCAUGUCCGAAAUGACGGAGAAUGGAGCGCCGUAGAUACCUCUGGAAGUAGCCACCUAGAUUACUCAAGUUAUCGUUGU
rnacentral:lncRNA from 1 species